GACAGAGGGUGCAAACGUUGUUCGGAAUUACUGGGCGUAAAGCGCGUGUAGGCGGCCGCGCAAGUCGGGUGUGAAAGCCCACGGCUCAACCGUGGAAGCGCACUCGAAACUGCGCAGCUCGAGUCCUGGAGAGGAAGGUGGAAUACUUGGUGUAGAGGUGAAAUUCGUAGAUAUCAAGUGGAACACCGGUGGCGAAGGCGGCCUUCUGGACAGUGACUGACGCUGAGACGCGAAAGCGUGGGGAGCAAACAGG
rnacentral:rRNA from 1 species